GGGUCAGUAGGUUGGUCGUGCCACCGGUACGUACUGGUCUCACUGAUUCCUCCUUCCUGAAGAACCGUAAUGCCAUUAAUUUGGUGUUGCAGGGAAACAGGACUGUUACUUUGAAAAGAUUAGAGUGUUUAAAGCAAGCUAACGCUUGAAUACAUUAGCAUGGAAUAAUGAAAUAGGACGAUCGAUCCUAUUUUGUUGGUUUCUAGGAUUGACGUA
rnacentral:rRNA from 1 species